UGUUAAUGGAAUAUGGGAGGCUGAAUGCCGAUUUCCCAUUGGCUGGUGAAGGUCUUUAACUGCUAGGGAAGACCAGCACAGUAAACAGGAAGUCAUCUCCAUGGCAACUGGCCAUUCAACUUAACUUUUUAACACACGAAGAGGUAAUUACCUUAUUUUUUAUUUCCAUUUUUAUAAUUUUCACAGUUUAUAAUAGCAGUGAAGACCUUCGGGUCAGGCAUUUCCUGGCUGUUAAUAACAGGCUGAUUUAAGGCCACCAAUGCUUAAACGUUGUGCCAAUUUUUUUUUUUUUAAUGAAAAGAGAGCUGUAAUUUUUUUUUUCCUUCCUGAAGUCUGUAGCAUAAAUAAAUGACAGAAUUUUAUGUUCACACACAUGGUGUUCUGAUUUCCUGCUGACGAUAACAUCAGGGAGGGGACUGAUCAUCUCGCCGGGGAUGGGGGGUGAGGGGUGAGGGGUGGGGGAGGCGGGUGGCGUGGAGGCGGGACAUGGGAGGGAAAAGCCACUGGUGGAUUCCUCUGGAUGGCAGGUUGGAAGAUGAAACCAAGGGAAGACAGGACUGAAGGCCACGCAGGGCAGGACUCAGAACCUGAGGAUGCAGGAGGCUCGGAGACCAGGGAACGUUCUGUUGGAGGCAAUCAACAAUCCUUGGGAACUCACCACAGGAGCCAGAGUCCAAGGCAGCUUCCCUGGCCUUUGCCCACCCGGGAAAAUUUGUCUUCCCUACUAGGAGUGUCUCAAUCCUGACUGUAUUACCUUAAAGUCUGAGAUCCUGGGAUCUGCACCUUGGCCCGGAAUCCAGGAUCAGGCCAUCUGGAUUUUCCAGUGUCAUCGUCUUUAAGAUAGUUUUACCCACAGAAGCCAGAAUUCCUCUUCCCAGAUUAGGGAUUCUCAGAUCUAUUAUUUCUUUCUUCUAUUCCCUCAAUAGUCAUGGUCAGCUUGUGAAAAGUUUUUUCAACAGUGCACUACAUGUAGGCAUGUCAAUUGUCCCUCUAAACUUUCCUUAUCCAAAAUACCAGUUGAGAACAUCAUUGGAUUUGAUUGUGCCUUAAUAUUUUUAGCAUCCGCUAGAGGGGUUUUAUACUGUUAUGUAUUGUCAUCUAUAUCCUGCCUAAAUUACCAUAAAUGUUAAUAAAAAAAAUUCUUAAUAAAGUUGGAUACA
rnacentral:lncRNA from 1 species